UACGUCAUCCCACCUGGGAAGUACGAUCGCAAGAUUGAAACUCAAAGGAAUUGACGGGGGCCCGCACAAGCGGUGGAGCAUGUGGUUCAAUUCGACGCAACGCGAAGAACCUUACCUGGGCUCGAACGGCUUAAGAACAUCCUUGGAAACAGGGACUUCUCGCAAGAGACUUGAGUCGAGGUGCUGCAUGGCUGUCGUCAGCUCGUGUCGUGAGAUGUUGGGUUAAGUCCCGCAACGAGCGCAACCCUUGUCCUGUGUUGCCACCCCGUAAGGGAGCACUCUCAGGAGACCGCCAGCGAUAAGUUGGAGGAAGGUGGGGAUGACGUCGUAUCUCACUG
rnacentral:misc_RNA from 1 species